UACGGGGGGGGGUAAGCGUUGUUCGGAAUUACUGGGCGUAAAGGGCUCGUAGGCGGCCAACUAAGUCGGACGUGAAAUCCCUCAGCUUAACUGGGGAACUGCGUCCGAUACUGGAUGGCUUGGAUUUGGGAGAGGGAUGCGGAAUUCCAGGUGUAGCGGUGAAAUGCGUAGAUAUCUGGAGGAACACCGGUGGCGAAGGCGGCAUCCUGGACCAACACUGACGCUGAGGUGCGAAAGCGUGGGGAGCAAACAGG
rnacentral:rRNA from 1 species